GACAGAGGGUGCAAACGUUGUUCGGAAUUACUGGGCAUAAAGCGCACGUAGGUGGUCCGCUAAGUCGCGUGUGAAAUCCCCCGGCUCAACCGGGGAAAUGCGCGUGAUACUGGCGGGCCUGAGAUCGGGAGGGGUGAAUGGAACUCCAGGUGGAGCGGUGAAAUGCGUAGAUAUCUGGAGGAACACCGGUGGCGAAAGCGGUUCACUGGCCCGACACUGACACUGAGGUGCGAAAGCGUGGGGAGCGAACAGG
rnacentral:rRNA from 1 species